GACGAACGCUGGCGGCGUGCUUAACACAUGCAAGUCGAACGGAAAGGCCCUGCUUUUGUGGGGUGCUCGAGUGGCGAACGGGUGAGUAACACGUGAGUAACCUGCCCUUGACUUUGGGAUAACUUCAGGAAACUGGGGCUAAUACCGGAUAGGCGCUCCUGCUGCAUGGUGGGGGUUGGAAAGUUUCGGCGUUUGGGGAUGGACUCGCGGCUUAUCAGCUUGUUGGUGGGGUAGUGGCUUACCAAGGCUUUGACGGGUAGCCGGCCUGGGAGGGUGACCGGGCAAAUUGGGACUGAGAUAAGGCCCAGAAUCCUACGGGGGGCAGCAGGGGGGAAUAUUGCACAAUGGGCGGAAGCCUGAUGCAGCAACGCCGCGUGCGGGAUGACGGCCUUCGGGGUGUAAAACGCUUUCGCCGGUGACGAAGCGUGAGUGACGGUAAUGGGUAAAGAAGCACCGGCUAACUACGUG
rnacentral:rRNA from 1 species